rnacentral:rRNA from 1 species
UGGGGAAUAUUGCACAAUGGGCGCAAGCCUGAUGCAGCCAUGCCGCGUGUGUGAAGAAGGCCUUCGGGUUGUAAAGCACUUUCAGCGAGGAGGAAGGUGGUGAGCUUAAUACGCUCAUCAAUUGACGUUACUCGCAGAAGAAGCACCGGCUAACUCCGUGCCAGCAGCCGCGGUAAUACGGAGGGUGCAAGCGUUAAUCGGAAUUACUGGGCGUAAAGCGCACGCAGGCGGUUUGUUAAGUCAGAUGUGAAAUCCCCGGGCUCAACCUGGGAACUGCAUUUGAAACUGGCAAGCUAGAGUCUCGUAGAGGGGGGUAGAAUUCCAGGUGUAGCGGUGAAAUGCGUAGAGAUCUGGAGGAAUACCGGUGGCGAAGGCGGCCCCCCUGGACGAAGACUGACGCUCAGGUGCGAAAGCGUGGGGCAGCAAACAGGAUUAGAUACCCUGGUAGUCCACGCUGUAAACGAUGUCGAUUUGGAGGUUGUGCCCUUGAGGCGUGGCUUCCGGAGCUAACGCGUUAAAUCGACCGCCUGGGGAGUACGGCCGCAAGGUUAAAACUCAAAUGAAUUG